UUACAUUGCUAUUUGUAUUCCAUUCCCUACAAUUGGUAUGUCACCUAUUUGAGAUACAGUUUCCAAAACAACAUGUUCCUAUUAAUUUUGCAAUUUAUAUUAUUUCUUGUGUGCUUUUAUCUGUGGUUUUGUUGCUAUCUUGGUCACUAGUAUGUUACUUACUAGUCUACUAGUUUAACUUAGCAUGUUUUCCCCUAUUCCCCUUCCUCUUGUCUCAAUGCAUGUUCCUCUUCUAUGUGCACUAUUUCUUGGCUACUUGUUUAACCUAAAAUCUCUGUUUGAAGCGAAGUGUAUUAGAAUUUGAUGCAGUAAGAAAUUGAACCCUUCGCUUACAAUCAUGUCUGAUUAUUUUCUCCAACAUGUUGCAUGCAUGUCUGUAGUUCACUUUACUUAUGUAUCCCCUUUCCCUUUCCCCUGUUUGUGUGAUGCCCUGUUGUUCUAAAACUGGUCAGUCUAAAAUGAUUUUUUAAAGAACCUUUUCAACUCUUUCAACUGUUUCUUCAAACUUCCUCAACUUCUCAAUUUUUCCAACUUUUCUUCUUAAAUUGUCUCUCAACUAUUUUCAACUCUCUCAAUUGCAACCUCAUUCUUAGAGCUUUAGGGUCUGCCCUUAGUGUAUGCACUGCCAUGUGAGACUUGAGCACCCAUGGAACUCUGAUGCACAAGGCUG
rnacentral:lncRNA from 1 species